CAAGCUGACGUCAGAUCGUCACACAUGCCUAUAAAUGGCCAUCUGUUCUGUAUCCUUGAUUGCUAAGGUUGUUGCUAAGGUUUUUCCAUGUUUUGUUUGUAUGUGUACUUUCAUAUUGCAGAUCGGAUUCCAGCUCAAAUAUGUACAGAUGAAUUUGAGAAGUUGACAUUUUGUGUCCCUUGUGGAUGUAAUACAAUUAAGAAACCUCUGAGAUCAAUUUUUUGAAAAGAUUCUGAAUGAAAAAAACUCUGAGAACAAAUAUCAGUAUUUACUCAGUUAAUUACUGCAAGAGGACGGAAUGCCUCCUGUGGGCUGUCUUCAAGAAGAAAUUCUUCAGACAUGCCAACAAUUAGCUUUCAUAAACCUCUCUUAAAGAAGAAGGUUUCUAAACGUAAGUGCUGUUGAAGUGAUACUGGUAAAUCCAUCAGUCCAGAGUUGCUUGUUUAACUCAAAGCUUCAUAAUAGACAUCCAGCACUUUACCAGCUGAGACUGAGCACCUUCUCUCCCACUGUCUUCAUGUUUUAAAUGCCACAAAUGCUUCACAGCAUGACUUAAAAAUCUAUUUCUGCUUCACAUCUUUGUUUGCAGUCCAUUCAUCUUGCCAGCAUUCCUGUGUUUUGUAUAUUGAUUUCCUGCUGCCUGCUGUCAUGCUCCAAGACCAGAGAAGACCUUGAGAGGAGGGUGGGUAGGGGUCGGUAAUGGAGUCGUCUCUCCCUCGUUAUCCCCAGUGUCUGAGCUGGACAGGAAGCGGCCCGUGACUCCUAUCUGACCUUCACCUCCUCCUCAAAAAGAAGUGAUGCCAGGCCAUCCUGCUGGCCCAGUGCAUACUAUUUAAAAUGCACUGUACAGUGAUGUUCCUUUUGUUCUCCCCGUUUCUUUCCACCUGUCACUCUCCACUGACAACUCUCUAAUAUAUGCAAAAUGUCAUGAGAUUAAAAUGAAAAGAGCAGAUGGAGCAGUAUCCCCAUACUUCAGACAGAGGAGAUGCAGGGGAAGAAGAGGCAUGGAAAUUAGAACAUUAGGACCUUCACUUUUCACAUUACAACUUUGAAUCAUUUCAAUCAGGAGAGACUCAAUUCUAUGAUGUAAAUGAUGUUUAUUUGAACAGCAUGGAAGGUGAAGUGGAAAAGUCUUUGGCGAUUAGACCCCAUCGUGAAUUUCACCGGAUAUGAAAGGAGGAGAACGUGAGAGUAGAAUAGGAUAACCCCCCCAAAGAAGAGAACUGAGGACAUAUGACCCGACACCAGGUAUACAGUCCUUACCUUGCCGGCAGCGAGGAUUCUAGUGAGAUACGAAAAGAGAAUUAGAUAGAAUGCAGUGAUAAUGACAUUGUGAUAUGUAAUCCUUACUUGGAUGAAGGAAGAUAAACAAUGAUGUAGAGAGUGAGUUGGCAGACACUAGGAUGAGUGGAGGAAGCCGUGAGUCCGAAGGCCGUGAGAUGAUGCAUGAGGUCCGGAGACCAUGAGGGGAUGUGAGAGGUCCGGAGACCAUGGGAUGAUGUGCGAGGUCCGGAGACCGAGAGAUGAUGUGCGAGGUCCGGAGACCAUGUGCUGAUGCAUGGGGUCCGGGGACCAUGUACUGAUGCGUGAUCUGAUGCUGGGGUCCAACGACCAUGUGCUGAGGCGUGAGGUCUGGAGACCGUGUGUUGAUGCGUGAGCUGAUGUCGGGGUCCGGUGACUGUGUGCUGAUGCGUGAGGUCCGAGACCGUGGGCUGAUGCGUGAGAUGAUGCAUGUGGUCCGACGACCAUGUGCUGAUGCUAGGAGAUGAAGCAUAAUAUUGAGCACAAAAAAAAAAAUACAGUUUUGAGCUAAAGAGAUUAAAAUCAACAGUGGACCAUAUGCAAAUAGGCAGGGACGAACACCCCCUGAACUGACUAGGUUGACUGACCUGAAACGCUGUGAUAUUGAGCUUUAAAAUGUUAACAUUGAACGUAGACUGGAAGGGAGUCAUGGUUUAAUAUAUGAACAUACCUUCGUUUAAGUUGCUUGGAGACUGUAGAAUAUGAGAUUAAAGGUGAGACAGAAUGACGCUUAAUUCAGGAUUGAAUGAAAUAGUGUUGGCAUGACACCUGCCUGAGAACUCAUUAAGGUUGAUGAAACAGGGUGUUAACAUGUAUGAAUGAAUCUAAUAAACAGAAAUUAGCUAAAAGACUAGACUCAGACACCAUGUCGUUGACGAAACAGCUGGUAGAAGUAUAGAUCCCAGUAGUGGCCAAGCAACAUGGUGUCCUCCUGAGAUGUAGUACCAGGAUAGCCAGCUAGUCAAUGACUAUACAAAAACAUAGUGUUAGGAUGCUCCAAACUAUGCAGACUCAAGGCGUGAGAAGAAUGAAAAGGAGAUACAUGAAGCCUGGGGAAGGGCUGACAUCCCCUAUGAUGGGAAAAGGCCAAUGACGUUGCAGAGGAUAGACAGAAAGCAGGGAAUGAUCUGCCUAAAACCAUUUUAACAGAAUGUACUCAACAGAAAACUGAACAUCCAACUUUUAGGGUCUUUUAUCACGGCCAAAUGUGGAUUGCAUUUUUUUUUUUUUGCAAUCAAAAUGUUACAAUUAACAUCAUGAACUGAUAUUUCCUAAUCUGAAGCAUGUGCUGCUUAAUCGUCUAUUUUACUCGAGAUGGGGCCGUAAUUUACGAAAUGAACAACCUGAUGCUUUGGGGAAAACUUGAAUUUCGCAAUUGAGACAGUUAACACAUUAGGAAAAUACAUAGUGAAAUGAGUGCAUUGACGCGAUGCGUUAUGUAAUGAUGAACAUGCUGAAAUACAUAACAGGGAUGCUUUAACUUACUGAUGGGCGAGUGAAAUGCGUGUAUGACUGAAUAAGUUGCACGUGAUGCGUGCUUACUGUUUGAAAUCACUUCCUGAUGCGCGUGCUGGAAUGCUUGGAUGGUGACACGUUCACUUGGUAUAGGCCUACAUAGCCUACUGAAUACCCGAAUACGCUAUAUGCUUAAACGAGGAAAGCAAUGAGGUAGUAGCAUUUUGUAUGUCAUAGUUUUGUAGUUUACAUGCGCACCUGAAGCCCCCAUACACUGACCAGGUGAGAAAGAGCCAGAGUAGGGGCGGGCGAGCAGCCAGGGGGAGACGGUCUGGUUAAGAUUUGACUGAAGUAGAGAGGUUGACUGAGAAACUCUGAGUGGAGCCGGACUCCACUGGAGCACCAUGCCGGUCGCUUGCUUGCUGGGUUCGGCUGUGUUGCGGAGUUGCAGAGGACGAGCGGCGUCUCUGAAGCCGCCGCGCAGCGUGAGGAACAGAGACGACCUGCUGAAUGGUGCAGGUCAGUGGUAUAAUUUGUCCAAGAUGGAGCCAUCAACCAGCACAGAGAGAUAAAGAAAGCCUAAAGUCAGUGAAGCAGACACUUCUAUCAACCAGAAGCUGAUUGAUCAGAAAGAGCUUCUUUAGAAAGUGAGCGUCAUACCCCACCGGGAGCAUUUCAGGAGUGGAGUGUUUUACUCCGACAGUGCCAGAGAGAAGAGAGCACUAGUGAGCACUGCUGUUUGGUCAGGGCUCUUGCACAGUAGCUGUUGGAACUGGGGGGAUAGUGUGAACCUCCUGCACACUGCAGCUUCUGCUUUUUUUUUUUUGUUCAGUUGGAGGCCUCUUGAAGCCCCCCUCAGAGAUCUGUGGUGGUCCCUUGGCAAAUGUUUACAGUGUCUCCAGGAUGAUUACUAUGUGAGUGAUUUCUCCACUCACUGCCAUCUGGGUGGGAGGACCGGAGUGCACAGCCAUUUCACCACCCAGCCGUCUGCAGCACGUAGAGUCACAGAGCAAACCAUGCAUGAGCUGCUAUAACAGAGACAUGAAAAGCAGCUGAGAGCCACACACUGUAAAUAACUAGGAUCGUGUUAAAUACAGAGGGUUGGCAUGCUAUCAAGCUGUACAAGCCAGAAAUGUAUUGAUUUAUUCAGUUUUUCUUUUUUCUUUUUUUUCUGUUUUGCAAGAAUUUCUUUGUUGAAUAAAUAUGACAAUAUGCUUUACCUGUGAAUUCUCAUAUUGUAACUUAAAUAUAUUCAUGUUUUUUCCCAAAAGCACACUGACUAUGUCACAGUAUGCAAUUUAAACUGAUGUAUGGUCAAGUUGUGUUAGUGUUGUUUUGAUCAGCAAGCACAUUGUGUUUUAUUGUGGCUGACAUUGUGGGGAGAAUUGCAAGUUAUACAUGUUGAUACAAAAAGCAGAUGGUCUAAGUUUUAGUCCUGACAAGAAAAUAUAUUGUGUUAUUAAAAAACUACAUUUCCAAUGUACAUUAAUAAAUAUCAUAAUGCAUACAAGCUAGUAUUACACAAAUGAAAAGAAGAAGCUAGGAUCACAAAAAUUAAUUACAGUUUAUUAUAACCUGAUAGGAUGCAUGUACCACAUUUGUCAUUUCACU